rnacentral:rRNA from 1 species
CCUACGGGAGGCAGCAGUAGGGAAUCUUUCACAAUGGGCGAAAGCCUGAAGGAGCAACGCCGCGUGCAGGAUGAAGGCCUUCGGGUUGUAAACUGCUUUUAUAAGCGAGAAAUAUGAUGGCAACUUAUGAAUAAGGAUCGGCUAACUACGUGCCAGCAGCCGCGGUCAUACGUAGGACUCGAGCAUUAUCCGGAGUGACUGGGUGUAAAGAGUUGCGUAGGUGGCAUAAUAAGUAGCUAGUGAAAUCUGGUGGCUCAACCAUUCAGCCUAUUAGCGAAACUGUUAAGCUCGAGACCGUUAGGGGUAACUGGAAUUUCUGGUGUAGGAGUGAAAUCCGUAGAUAUUAGAAGGAACACCAAUAGCGUAGGCAGGUUGCUGGGACGGUUCUGACACUAAGGCACGAAAGCGUAGGGAGCAAACGGGAUUAGAUACCCCUGUAGUC